GACGAACGCUGGCGGCGUGCUUAACACAUGCAAGUCGAACGAAGUGGCGAACGGGUGAGUAACGCGUAAUCAAUCUGCCCUUCAGAGGGGUACAACAGUUGGAAACGACUUCUAAUACCCUAUACUGACGCAGGGGAUUGCGGCUGAUUAGGUAGUUGGGGGGGGAACGGCCCAACAAGGCGAUGAUCAGUAGCCGGACUGAGAGGAGGGACGGCCACAAGGGGAAUGGGGAACGGCCCAGAAUCCUGCGGGAGGGAGCAGUGGGGAAUCUUCCGCAAUGGAGGAAAGUCUGAAGGAGCAACGCCGCGGGAGUGGUGACGGCCUUCGGGUUGUAAAGCUCUGUUAAUCGGGACGCGGUACCGGAAUAGAAAGCCACGGCUAACUACGUGCCAGCAGCCGCGGUAAUUC
rnacentral:rRNA from 1 species